rnacentral:rRNA from 1 species
GAUGAACGCUGGCGGCGUGCCUAAUACAUGCAAGUCGAGCGAACGGACGAGAAGCUUGCUUUUCUGAUGUUAGCGGCGGACGGGUGAGUAACACGUGGAUAACCUACCUAUAAGACUGGGAUAACUUCGGGAAACCGGAGCUAAUACCGGAUAAUAUUUUGAACCGCAUGGUUCAAAAGUGAAAGACGGUCUUGCUGUCACUUAUAGAUGGAUCCGCGCUGCAUUAGCUAGUUGGUAAGGUAACGGCUUACCAAGGCAACGAUGCAUAGCCGACCUGAGAGGGUGAUCGGCCACUCUGGAACUGAGACACGGUCCAGACUCCUACGGGAGGCAGCAGUAGGGAAUCUUCCGCAAUGGGCGAAAGCUUGACGGAGCAACGCCGCGUGAGUGAUGAAGGUCUUCGGAUCGUAAAACUCUGUUAUUAGGGAAGAACAAAUGUGUAAGUAACUAUGCACGUCUUGACGGUACCUAAUCAGAAAGCCACGGCUAACUACGUG